rnacentral:lncRNA from 1 species
UGGGAUGGGCUAACUUGAGCCUGAGAUGUGACUCUCGCAAGAGUGCCUCCCUUCAACGUGCUUGCUGUGACAAGGUUAUUUGGCCCUCCUAGUCCUAGCGUGAGGAGACCUCCUUGCUUUGCUGCUGUUGUGUUGAUCCAUUUGAUUGGUUGCAUGUUGGGUAAAGGGAGAUCGAAUGCCUGUGUGUUUAUAUGGUUUCUGAACCAAAAAGUAGAUGGCUUGUUGUAUCAGCCUUCUUUUCGUUGUUGUUGAGGGGAGUCACGUGUCUUGUGUUACAAGGCCCUAUUUGGAUUAUCGUUUUCCUUUUAAUUACCCCAGUAAAAAAAUACUCCAUCCAAGCCUUUUUAGAGAUUUCAAUACGGACUAUAUACGAAUGUAUGUAGACAUAUUUUAGAGUGUAGAUUCACUCAUUUUGCUGUAUGCAGUGCAUAUUGGAAUCUCUAAAAGGUCUAGUAUAUAGGAAUGGGGGGAGUACACGUCUCAGCCCAUCGUUUUGUUUCCGGCUGGAAAUUACUUAGUUGGCUGGUAAGAUCAUAGUUCAAAAAAGCGCUAGACAUUAAUUGUGCGUUUUGCCGCCGCUUUGUGCUUUUUUGAUCAAAGCGCAUGCUUAUGCGCUAGGCGUUUUGCUAUCACCUAGAGCCUAGACGCACUUAAGUGCUUGCUUAGGCGCAUCUUUUUAAACUAUAGGUAAGAUACACCUCUAAGUUAAACACCUCCGUAUUAAAUUACACAGAUCCUAAGCGCGCCCUAACUUGAGUUUUGAAGCAGCUGAUCGCUAGUGUGCUCAUCAUGGCUGCAUUUUCUGCAAUUGGCGAUGCUUAGCUAUUCGAAUUUAUUUGCAGUAAAAAAAACAAUUGGCAGUUUGCUUUGGUCAGAGAACAUCUUCUGGACCAUCCGUAUGUUGCAUGUGUAUGAAAAGCUGCUUCUUUUUUCUUUAACCAGGAAUAUUUACCUCUAUUUACAAGGAAAGUGUUUCGCUUUGACUUUAUAGUACUGUAAUAGACUGAUGUUUAAGGUAGUUCAGUUCAAACGAUGAGGAUGUUUCAUUUAUAUGCAGACAUAUUUCAGCUCUAUUGAGCUUGUAUGCUUGCAUGUACCGAGCUUUUGCUUGAUGUACACUACUUGGAUCCGAAUGAUCCCCAUGUCAAAGGGUUUAAACGAAUGAACCAAACUGGCAGGCAUCGGAAGGGAUUAGAAGGGAAGGGGAGUGGAUGGGCAUCUAGCCCAGUGACAAGACCGCGGCCUUUGGUAGAGCCAAGUUCGAAUCAUGUGGGUGGAAUUUAUUUUGCAGAUUUAAAACUUUAUGUCCCACAUCUUCCUUCUUAAUUAAAACUAGCGGAUUAAAAACUUGAUGUACCACAUCUUUCUUCUUAAUUAAAACUAGAAACUAGCAUCAACCAAGCAUGACUAAGGACUGGAACGUGAUCUACAGGAAAUGGCAGGAACAAGGAACAAGCCUACAUGGUUUUGAAACAUGAACAUCAAAACCCUGAAAGCUUACAAAAAUCUACACUCCACAUUCUACAUUCUACAUGGGUUCAAAAAAAUGCAUCGGAAGAGCUUGACGCGCUGGAUAAAAAAAAUCAAUGUAAACAAGUAGUUAAACUUGGGGCUCCCCUCUGCUUCGAAAACUAAUAUAUUCUGUGAUGAUGAGUACAAAAUAAAAAAUAAGGAUCAUACAAAGAAGAAGAAAAAAAAAGAGGCUGCUGAUUUACCUCUGCGUUUUUAAACUCCUUCCAGAGCUCAGGCAAACUCUGCAAACCAUCUCCUGUGCACAUAAGAAAGCCGCUGAAACAUAAAUUUGUGCUAGUGAGAUGCAUACAUAUCCAGCUAAUGAUUUCUAGUGCGAUACUUGUAUGCUUCUAAACAAAAAGGAUUUCCAAAUAAUGAUCAUUUAUCAUUGGCGUUGCCGCUGAUGACCAAAAAUAUAUAUUUACAUUACGAUGUGGAGAUAAAAAAAUACGAAUCUAUCAAGAGACCAUAAUAUCUUGAUUCAUACAGAAAAAAUGAACAUCUUACUGAUUCAUAUGGUUUAAGCAAAAAAAAAACAAAACUGAAAAAACAUGCUGCUGCUGGGAACUUAGUUGCAGUGAUCAUUAUCUUUUGAUUGCACGAAAAAAAGAAAUUUGAACAUGCUACUAAUUAAAUAGGGUCUCAGCAAAAAAACUGGCAAAAACAAGUAAACAUGCUACUGAUACAUUCUACAGAGAAAAAAGAUUUCAGUGUAAUCUCUAGUGAUACAUUUCAGUAGUAAUCUGUCUUGUUUACAAAAAGAAAAUAUUUCAAAAAACAUCCUACUGGUUAGAUAUGGGUUCUGAAAAAACAAAUAAAAAGAUACCCACUCCUACUGGUACAUUCAGUGAUAAUCUCUCUUUCUUUAAAAAAAAGACAUGCUACUGAAUAAAUAUGGUAAUCUAAAUAAACAAACAAAGGACUCAACCACCCUUAGUGAUAGCUUCAGCAAAUACAUAUGAGGGGAUUUGAUUUAAGUAAUAUUCCUCAAACAUGUUCACACACAAAAUUGUUUCUGCCAAAAAUCAUAUUCUUCAAAAGCUACUAACCUGGACUAAAAUAAACAAACAAGGGACUGAAACUGUCCCUAGGUGAUGGAUGAGUAAUAGAUCUAGACGUCUGAAGUCUAAAUUAGGGGAUAUGAGAGAACCACUUCUUGAGAACUAGACGUUUGAAGCAAGAAGCGUACAAACAAAAAUGGACUGACCACUGUAUACUUCAAGGCUACUAAUCUGGACUCAAAAUCCCCUCAUAUAUACGCACUACAUUACCACCCCCAGUUGAAUAAAAAAAGGACGAUUCUAUGCUUCAAAUCUACUAAUCUGGACUUGAUCCAAACAAACAAUGAGACCCCAAAAAUCCACUCGGAUCUACUUCAUCUCACCAACUAACAAACAAAAAAGAAAAAAGAAAAGAUGGGAAUGCAAAUACUCCAUAGCAGCGUCGCCCAUCCUCUCAUUGGCUGUGGAGGAGCACAGCGAUUUCUCUUCAAUCUGCUUCAGAGAUCUUUGGAUUUUCACAAAGAAGGGAUAGAGAGAGACAAAGGAUGAAAUAGACUAACGACUGCCAAUCCCCUCCUCUUAAUUACCUCGGGGUGCCUAUCCCUCUCCAGGUUACCGACUAGCUGCAGCACAUAUUCAUGGCUGCUUGGUCACCUAGGUCUUGGCGGGCAGCGGCAUGGCCGGGUCUUCACGACUAGGUGGAGUUGGCAGAUCUGCUUUCUCGCUUCUGAUUGCGUCACCGGGAAUUGGAUCCGGGGCAGCGGCGGUCUCGCUGUGGAUUGUGGUCACCAUCAAAAGAUUUUCUGAGAGUUCAUCUUUAAAAUCCCGUGGCUGACUUCGGCGGCGAGAUGAAAACUAUGGACGAAGUCUUGAUGCAGAGGGAUGGUUGUGUGGCAGCGGCGGUUACACCGCAUGUUGCUGCUAGGAUUGUGGAAAAGUGGUGGCGGCAACACAUGAAUGACUUCGAUGGUGAUGCUACUUGAGCACCCGGUCUUGAGCUUCGGGAUGAAAGCCUAGGUUUGGCCCGAGUUGGGUAUACCUGACAAUGACGAUGUUUUUACGUCGUUAUCUUGUUGAAGGCAUUGUUCGAAAUGCUCGGGCAGAUUCUUUAGGGUGAAAAGCGUAGAUUGUAGCCUUGGGUGGCUCGAUCUGGUGACGGUGACAUUUGAGUGUUGCUCUCUUCCUGAGGGCGUUGCUGUUGAAGAACCUCAUCGUUCGUGUGGUGUCAUGAGAUGGUCGGUGCAGAUAUGAUCAUUGUUAUAAUUGGUCGAUCCAGGAUCGGAUUGCUUUGGGCAUUUUUUUCUUUUUUCCUCGCCUAUACGCAUAGCUUUGGUCUUAUAUGACUUUGCUAUUUGCCGGCGUGUUUUUGUGUGCGUGCGUUGGUGUUGGUUGUGUGCACCUAGCUAUGCAGAGGCUGGGUGUAUACUCAUCGUGUUUGUAUCUUCUUGAUGCUCCAUUUUAAGUCAAUAAAAUCCACCCUUUAUCGAAAAAAAUCCCUCUCCACUCUUAAUUACCACGGGGCUACCACUCCCUCUUCACCUGCCCUAGCCCAGAAAAAGAAACGCGAGACGCUCACAUGAAUCAAGGCCGGCCCAAAUAAAAAAAAUGCUCCAAAAAAUAAAAACAAGCAAAACGGGCCGAUCCGUGACGUACACAGGCCGAAACAUAGAUAAAAAUGAGCCAGCGCGAAUCUACAAGCAACACGAGAUCGAACGGCUGCACAAUCGACCGAGACUUCACGAAUCUCAGUCCACUGAUUUUUAGCAGCUCCGUUAAACGAAUGAACCAAACUGGCAGGCAUCGGAAGGGAUUAGAAGGGAAGGGGAGUGGAUGGGCAUCUAGCCCAGUGACAAGACCGCGGCCUUUGGUAGAGCCAAGUUCGAAUAGUAUAGGUGGAAUUUAUUUUGCAGAUUUAAAACUUUAUGUCCCACAU